rnacentral:rRNA from 1 species
UACGGGAGGCAGCAGUGGGGAAUAUUGCACAAUGGGCGCAAGCCUGAUGCAGCCAUGCCGCGUGUAUGAAGAAGGCCUUCGGGUUGUAAAGUACUUUCAGUCGUGAGGAAGGUGUUAAGGUUAAUAACCUUAGCAAUUGACGUUAGCGACAGAAGAAGCACCGGCUAACUCCGUGCCAGCAGCCGCGGUAAUACGGAGGGUGCGAGCGUUAAUCGGAUUUACUGGGCGUAAAGCGUGCGUAGGCGGCUGAUUAAGUCGGAUGUGAAAUCCCUGAGCUUAACUUAGGAAUUGCAUUCGAUACUGGUCAGCUAGAGUAUGGGAGAGGAUGGUAGAAUUCCAGGUGUAGCGGUGAAAUGCGUAGAGAUCUGGAGGAAUACCGAUGGCGAAGGCAGCCAUCUGGGCCUAAUACUGACGCUGAGGUACGAAAGCAUGGGGA